ensembl:lncRNA
GUUAGAAAUGCAAACUCAGUGCAAACUUUCAAGUGUCUACUAAAAACUCAUCUCUACAGCACGGUUUAUAAUUAGGUGUAGCCUGGCCCGGGGGCGUGAAGGUGACCAGUAGGCUUGAUACUGUCCACCCUUGCUGUCUUGCCAGGUGGGCUCUCGUCGCCACUGGGAUGCCCUCCCUCCAAUGCCUUUCGGGGGAAGAGUCACUGGCUUGUUGUUGACUCUCUGUUGCGCACUUGUGCAAUUGGGCUGUACGCUGCUAGCAAUACUCGGCCCUCAUUCAGGGGGGUUGCGGUUGGUGGGUGUCCCUUUGGUUGAUGCCUGGCAAUGUGGUUGGAUUGAUUUCCUGC